AUGAAGAACGUAGCGAAAUGCGAUAAGUAAUGCGAAUUGCAGAAUUCAGUGAGUCAUCGAAUCUUUGAACGCACAUUGCGCCCUGUGGUAUUCCGCAGGGCAUGCCUGUUCGAGCGUCAUUUCAACCCUCAAGCCUCGCUUGGUGUUGGGCCCUGCCCGCCGCGGCCGGCCCUAAAGAUAGUGGCGGCGCCGCCUGGCCCUCAGCGUAGUACAGCUCUCGCUCCAGGGUCCGGCGGCAGCCUGCCAGAACCCCCCAACUCUGUGGUUGACCUCGGAUCAGGUAGGGAUACCCGCUGAACUUAAGCAUAUCAAUAAGCGGAGGA
rnacentral:misc_RNA from 1 species